ACUUUUUUUAUAUAAAGUCAUCGUCCGUUGUAAUAGUUAUCAUUAAUUUUUUAUUGUUGAUGGUACAAAAAUUGUAAAAUUGUGGCAACGUCUGUCAAGACAUUGAAAAACGUGGUACAGAUUGUAACACAUAAUUUAAUAAAAGAGGGUUGUCAUCUAUCUUCAUUGAUGGCUGGAAAUUUAACAUUUAAAAGAUGCGGUAAAAGAAAAAACUGCUCCAAAUCGGCAAACCUUGUAUCAAAAUAAGAUACCAAAUGCACUGUAAUGCAAUCAUUUUGGAACUCUUCGCCUGUUCAGAAACAAUUACAUUCAAACAGUUUGUUGAUAAAUAUUAGAUUCUUUUCUCAAAUUAAUGCAACUAAAGUAUCACAAAGAGAGCAAAUAGAUAAUGAUAUUGUGACCCUCGAAAAAAAAGAAAGAACCUAUUGAACAAAGUGUUGAUGCUGUCUUAUUUGAGCUAGCAGAUAUUGAAAAAGAGUUAAAUGCUUUAAACGCCUAAUAUGUAAAAGUAAAGUUACUGGUUGAGCAAAAGCAAUAUUCGAUAACAAAACGUUUAAAUAAUCCUACAACAGAAUUUAUGAUAAAUGAUACAUGUCAACAAAAUAUAGAAGACGAGACGAGUCACGGAAAAUUAUGGAUUUUAUUUAUGGUGGCAGUGAUGGUACUAUUUAUGGUGCAUGGGAUCUUUUAUGCAGCAUAUCACCAAUAAAAUUGAUGGAACAUUUUACAACAAAGUACAAAAGAGGAAAAUUCCUUGAAAAUUUAUGUGGCUAAAUUUCAAAUAGUUAUGUCAAAAGUAAAGCUGGUAUAAACAAAGCAGUUGCAUUAAAAUAUGUUAACUAUUUAUCACGGCGUAAGUACAACAUGUUAUGCAAAGUGCAAAAAUCUACAUUUUCGGUUGAUUCAAGUUCAGUAAAUUCAGUUCAAUACGGUAAUCUUUGAAUUGGAUAUGUCAAAUGUUUCAAAUAAAACUGUUGAAAAAUUUGUUAAAUUAUUAGACAUCUGUGAAAUCCAUCAAAUACCAGGUUAUAGUGGAACAGUGACAGCAUUAGUGACAAUGAUAACUGAUUUAAAUUUGAAAUUAAAAACUCUAAACGAAAAACUUAUUUGGUUUAAUGGUAACAUUACCCAUUUUGUUGUUGAGUUUUUUGAUGAUGGAACUCCAGAGUCUAAAGAAAAAAACUUGACAAUUGAGACUUUAUCAAUGUGAAAUUUCGGCAAACGCAUUCGCAGUAGAGAGUUUCAUUAUCCUCUACAUAUAAUAACAGCCAGUGAAAAAGAUAUAGUAUGCGAAUUGUUGUGGAAGCAGCAGUUUGAAGAAAUGGAAUUAAUUGAAGGCAAUGUCAACUCAACAUCACUAACAUCAAAACUAGUUUUGAAUUUGUUUCAUCAGUCGAUAUUUCAUAGUUGUGUUUUGCUGCAAUUGUGUUACCUACAAGUGCAACAUAUCCUUCACCUUUUCCAAAUGUGCAUAAGUGUGAAUCAACACAAAGAAAUAAAACCAUUGGAGGUGCAGAGGCAACAUGUCAAGUACCAACCAUGGAUACGUGAAUUAAGGAAUUAUCAAUGCUGAAAAACUUUGAGAACACGCAAACUAUAAAUGCUUACAAUUAUGCAAAACAUAACAAUAAAUUGAACUUUAUGGUAGAUAAUCGAAUUCGGCAACUUGGAGAAUCGCUUAUUGCGAAAUUUGCUGAUUUUAUUCGCCCUGAACCGCUUCAUUUAGAAAUAAAUAAUUGGCAACACGAUCUUGAUUUAAUUUAUAAAGAAUUAGUACGUCGUGGAGUUUUUGAAAAAUUUUAAAGUUGUUUAAGUAACCUACCUAAAGAAUUAGAUGAUUUAGGCUGCAGGUUAAAGUUUCUUGCAAACAAUAUUAGAAAAUAUUAUCAAAAUGAAAGUAAGAGAAUAAAUAAAUUAGAGACAAGACUAAUUGGAGCUCAAGCUGUUGCAUUAGGUCAAUAUAGUUUUCGUCUUGUAGACACUUUGCAAGUUGCUUACAAUUAAUAUCCAGAAACUUAAAAGAGUUGCAUUAGCUAAAAUAUGUGAAUUUUUAUGUUACAGCAGAAAAUUAUCCAGUAGAAGUUGCUAAAUAUUGCAGCACAUAUUUUAGUUUGUUUUUAUUAUUUUUCCCAGAAAGCUGUCAAAGUACGGUAUGGACAUUGGGAUAUGUUUUACCAUAUCUUGCUUUGGAAAUAUUUACAAAAUAUCAUGUUGGCUAUAGAGUUUAAUCUAUGCAGAAAAAGAAUCGAAACACUCAUCUAUUAAACAGUAACUUAGAAAUAACAGUAAUCGUUCAGUUUUAUACGACAAGCAAGAUAAAUGGCAUGAACUGAUGAGAUCUAAUUUUGUCAGAAACUUUAUCUCCUUUAUCAGUUCCUUUUAAACAUCCCUUACCAAUCACACUACCAAUCAAGAGUACUAGCUGACUGGAACGAUUUAGUGAUGAAAACAAACUUUUAAAACACAUAGCAUUGCACACCCGAAAUCAAAUAGUCAAUAUUAUUCCAAGAGAACUUUCUUUAAAACAGUCGAAGAAUGAAUUGAGACUCCGCAGUAAAUGUAUUAGGGGAAACAAAGUAGAGUUAAUUGAAAGAUUAGAGGGUUAUUUAACUUAAUAGAUCAAUUAUUAUUAUUUAGUAUAGAUAUUUUAAUAUAUAAGAAUAGUUAUUUUUAUAUCUGCUAAUAUUUUCAAAAACAACACAAUUUUAGAUAUUGCUUAAUUUACGUAACUAUUGCUGAUAAUCAUCCAAGAUUUGCUUAAGUAACAUUUUUACAAAUUAUUAUUGAAAUAACACAUUUCAUUUUUAACUUUAUUUUAUUUAUAGUGAUACCUAUAAUUUUAUAGUGUUUAUGUCUUUG
rnacentral:lncRNA from 1 species